UACGUAGGGCGCAAGCGUUGUCCGGAUUUAUUGGGCGUAAAGAGCUCGUAGGCGGCCUGUCGCGUCGACCGUGAAAACCCGCAGCUCAACUGCGGACUUGCGGUCGAUACGGGCAGGCUGGAGUCCGGUAGGGGAGAGUGGAAUUCCUGGUGUAGCGGUGGAAUGCGCAGAUAUCAGGAGGAACACCAGCGGCGAAGGCGGCGCUCUGGGACGGAACUGACGCUGAGGAGCGAAAGCGUGGGUAGCAAACAGG
rnacentral:rRNA from 1 species